rnacentral:rRNA from 1 species
AGGAUGAACGCUAGCGGGAGGCCUAAUACAUGCAAGUCGAACGGUAACAGGGUAGCAAUACCGCUGACGAGUGGCGCACGGGUGAGUAACACGUGACUAACCUACCCUCGAGUGGGGAAUAACCUGGGGAAACCCGGGCUAAUACCGCAUAAUACCCACGGGUCAAAGGAGCAAUUCGCUUGAGGAGGGGGUCGCGGCAGAUUAGUUAGUUGGCGGGGUAAUGGCCCACCAAGACGAUGAUCUGUA